AACGAACGCUGGCGGCAGGCCUAACACAUGCAAGUCGAACGCUCGUAGCAAUACGGGAGUGGCAGACGGGUGCGUAACGCGUGGGAACAUACCCUUUGGUUCGGAAUAACUCAGGGAAACUUGAGCUAAUACCGGAUACGCCCGAGAGGGGAAAGAUUUAUUGCCGAAAGGAUUGGCCCGCGUCUGAUUAGCUAGUUGGUAGGGUAACGGCCUACCAAGGCGACGAUCAGUAGCUGGUCUGAGAGGAUGAUCAGCCACACUGGGACUGAGACACGGCCCAGACUCCUACGGGAGGCAGCAGUGGGGAAUAUUGGACAAUGGGCGCAAGCCUGAUCCAGCCAUGCCGCGUGAGUGAAG
rnacentral:rRNA from 1 species